ACGCUCGACACCUACGGGAGUCAGCAGUUGGGAAUAUUGGACAAUGGAGGAAACUCUGAUCCAGUGACGCCGCGUGAAGGAAGAAGGUCUUCGGAUUGUAAACUUAUUUUGUCAGGGAAGAAAAAAUGACUGUACCUGAAGAAAAAGCACCGGCUAACUACGUGCCAGCAGCCGCGGUAAUCUGAGCGGGCUGGCAAGGC
rnacentral:rRNA from 1 species